AUUGAACGCUGGCGGCAUGCCUUACACAUGCAAGUCGAACGGCAGCACGGGUGCUUGCACCUGGUGGCGAGUGGCGAACGGGUGAGUAAUAUAUCGGAACGUACCUUAGCGUGGGGGAUAACGCAGCGAAAGCUGUGCUAAUACCGCAUAAGCCCUAAGGGGGAAAGCAGGGGACCGUAAGGCCUUGCGCGAUUAGAGCGGCCGAUACCUGAUCAGCUAGUUGGUGAGGUAAAGGCUCACCAAGGCAACGAUCAGUAGCUGGUCUGAGAGGACGAUCAGCCACACUGGGACUGAGAGACGGCCCAGACUCCUACGUGAGGCAGCAGUUGGGAAUGUUGGACAAUGGGGGCAACCCUGAUCCAGCAGUGCCGCGUGAGUGAAGAAGGCCUUCGGGUUGUAAAGCUCUUUUGUCAGGGAAGAAACAGCAGCUCUAAUACAGUAUGCGAAUGACGGUACAUGAAGAAUAAGCACCGGCUAACUACGUGCCAGCCGCCGCCGUAAUAC
rnacentral:rRNA from 1 species